GAUGAAGAACGCAGCGAAAUGCGAUAAGUAAUGUGAAUUGCAGAAUUCAGUGAAUCAUCGAAUCUUUGAACGCACAUUGCGCCCGUCAGUAUUCUGGCGGGCAUGCCUGUUCGAGCGUCAUUACAACCCUCAGGCCCCCGGGCCUGGCGUUGGGGAUCGGCGGAGCCCCCCGUGGGCACACGCCGUCCCCCAAAUACAGUGGCGGUCCCGCCGCAGCUUCCAUCGCGUAGUAGCUAACACCUCGCGACUGGAGAGCGGCGCGGCCACGCCGUAAAACACCCAACUCUUCUGAAGUUGACCUCGAAUCAGGUAGGAAUACCCGCUGAACUUAAGCAUAUCAAUAAGCGGAGGA
rnacentral:misc_RNA from 1 species